AAAAUGGUGAAGUCAUUCUUAGCUUUAUGUGAAAACCCUCACAGGUUCACAAUGAGAAACUGUGUAAAUGUUGAGACUGACAGUGAGAUCGAUAGUUGAUCAUGAUAUUUGAAUUUAAAACUUUAAUUAAAAAAUUAGAAUUAUAUAUAUUCAAUCAUUUUUGGAAGUUUCAUUAUUCCAUGGACUUAGAGAGAAAUUCCCAUUAAGCAA
rnacentral:misc_RNA from 1 species